rnacentral:lncRNA from 1 species
GUAUUUUUUUGGCUAUAACCAGCCAGAUAACUUAAAGAAGGAGAAUGCAAUUACUCACUCAUAGGGGCAUGCAGAUCUGAUUUUUCUACUUUUCUGCAGUGCUUUUCACAUUUUGAGCUCUAAAUUCCCUCAUGCAGAAGUGCCAUAUGCAGUCUUUGAAAGCUUUUUUGAAGGAAUCCGUGAUUCUUCAGCCGCUUUGCCAUCUUCUCCAGAGGUGUGCUGAGGAUUUCACACAACACAGCAGGAGGCACGUAAGGUUAUUCCAGCCUGGUUAGAUGGAAGAAAUGCUGUGACCAGGAAAGAUGCCAGCGAGUCAGGGCUGGGCAAUUACUACAGCUGUUCAAAGAAGCACACUGGGCAGUAAUGAAUACCUGUCAUGCUUUCCCAG